UACGGAGGGAGCAAGCGUUACUCGGAAUUAUUGGGCGUAAAGGGCGCGUAGGCGAUCUGAAAAGUCCUGUGUGAAAGCCCACAUGUUAACUGUGGAAGUGCACAGGAAACUGUUGGAUUUGAGUUCAGGAGAGGAAGGCAGAAUUCCCGGUGUAGCGGUGAAAUGCGUAGAGAUCGGGAGGAAUACCAGUGGCGAAGGCGGCCUUCUGGACUGACACUGACGCUGAGGCGCGAAAGCCAGGGGAGCAAACGGG
rnacentral:rRNA from 1 species